AUGAAUAAUGUAAACAGCUAUGGAUCAUUUAAAACCCUCAGAGUGUCUUCUGUUACAGUGCCCGUGCUGCCACAGCACUGCAGGAGGGUGGCAUCCCCUGAGAAUUGGCUCCAUCCAAACACAUGUGACGCACUGAUGUGCCCUGGGUGGUGUGGUGCUGUGUCACAGAGGUCCUGCUGCGGUUACUGUGGAAUUAUUUCCCUUUGGGUGAUCUGAAGAGGAGCAGAUCUGCCAUGAGUUUGUGUACAGUUGUCCAAAAUACCUGAGACUCCCCAGUCCCAGUUUAUGAGAGAAGUUCAAGUGAAAAAUAUCCAUGAAUACCUGACAAAUUUCUGGCUCCGAGAGGUGAAGCCCACGGAGAGGGUGUCUUACACUACUGAAAAUGUACAAAAUUAUCAAGUACAGCAUAGGGUACGUUUAAAGAAUGACUUCUUAUAAACUUUUAUUGAAAAUUCCUCUAUUUGUCCAGAACUGCUCCUUGAGGUAAUUUUCAAAAACCUUGCCAGAAGUACCUGAUUUGAAAGCAGACAUCUGGUUCAAACAUUUUGCAGAUCAUAAAUGGAGCUAUCUCCUUAAGAACAGAAUAAUUUUUUUCCAUAGGGACUUGACAUAGUUUGUGGCAUUAUUUGAAUUGUGACAAUGCUGUGAUGCUUGAUAGUCAAAACAGGCUCUUUCCUGUUUAAGUGAUGCAUACAGAGCAAUUAAUUCUACAGAAGCCAUCAACAUUUUCACUGGCUAGACAGUGAUAGACAUGCACCAGAAAUCUGGGAGACUACAUCCGGUGAAAUCCCCAAAUUACAAACCUUUUGGGAACCUACGCUAGUUAAUCGUAUGGUGAGAAUUCCUGGCCCCUUUCUCCACCUUUUCUUAUGCUGAAAUGAGUUUUGCAGUUCUGGUAGAGGCUGAUCUGGGCUGGUGACAGAAGCACUGCUGAAGUCCAGUGAAGAAAGGAGGGGAUGCUGGGGAAGAAGAAGAGUGAGAGGAGAUUUUUUCUGUGUUGCAGUAUAGAGGAGAAUUUAAGGAGAAAGACUACAAAAGGACAUAGAAACAGAUAAGGCAA
rnacentral:lncRNA from 1 species